rnacentral:rRNA from 1 species
GUCCACGCCGUAAACGAUGGGUACUAGGUGUAGGAGGUAUCGACCCCUUAUGUGCCGCAGUUAACACAUUAAGUACCCAGCCUGGGGAGUACGGCCGCAAGGUUGAAACUCAAAGGAAUUGACGGGGGCCCGCACAAGCGGUGGAGCAUGUGGUUUAAUUCGACGCAACGCGAAGAACCUUACCAGGUCUUGACAUCCCUUGACCGCCUAAGAGAUUAGGAAUUCUAGAGCUUGCUUUAGACAAGGAGACAGGUGGUGCAUGGUUGUCGU